rnacentral:lncRNA from 1 species
CAUCCCCCCAGGGCAUGGCCAUCUGACCCUCUGGCGAGCCAACCCCAGAGUGGCAGCAGGCCAUUUCCAUACCAAGACCUUCCAGGAGUAAAAGUUCAUUUAGGAAGAAAUAAAUGUGAAUCAAACCCUGAAACAUCAUAACCCCCAAAACAUCAUAAACCAGGAGGACAUUCCUAAUGAAGUUACAGGUCUGGAUGAUUUGGGAAAUACCCAGGGAGCGAUGUCUGCAUGAGACCAUGCAUACAACUAUGGCCUUAG